rnacentral:rRNA from 1 species
GCUUACAGCUAUACCAACCUAUGCAUGCCCAACCUUGUCUGAUCUUGGAAGCUAAAUAGGGUUGGGCCUGGUUAGUAUUUGAAUGAGAGACCGCCUGGGAAUACCAGGUGCUGUAAGCU